GGCCUGAUAGUUCAGUGGUAGAAUUCUUGCUUUGGGUUGACAUUGCUCAAUUGUAAGAGGUCUCCGGUUCGAUCCCGGAUUAGGCCC